AUGUGGGAAUCUUCCCGGACCGGGGCACAGACCCGUGUCCCCUGCAUCGGCAGGCGGACUCUCAACCACUGCGCCACCAGGGAAGCCCCGUGUGUUUCCCCUGAUAUGCAUGAAGAGAAAGCAGAAGACUGAAAUACUAUUGGUUGGUCUUGCACACACUUAGACACAAACCGGGACCUGCAGUAACGACUGGGAUUUGUAUCAAUAAAGUCAGCUGCAGUAUAUAAACAAAGUACCGUUUCUAGACAUUUCAAUAACCUUGCCUCUUCAAGUUGAUCUCCGAGUUUUAGGACUCAAGCUUCAUGUUAAUUCCUCCUACAUCAUUCACCCUCUUUAAUUAAUUUAGUUCCCAACAAGGAGUUGCUGAGAUUCCUCCAUCUAAGUACGUGCCCUCUGUUUCUCAUAGGAAAGCCCAUCUCAUCGGUUCCCAGCAGUAAAGAGAAGGACGGGGGCCACCUUACCGAUUUCUCUUCCGUUAGCCGCUUGAUUCUGGCUUUCAGCUUCUCCUCUUGCUGUAGCCUUUCCUCGGUCAGCUUCUCCUUCUCUGCCAGGUGCUGCCGUAACUUUUCUUGCAGCAAAUACUGCUGAGUUUCCUGAGAACUGUUGGUCUUGAUCUGAAACGAGGUGAAGGGAAAUGCAGCCGAUGGGGGACAGGACUAACGCAGGAGCCAUUUCCACUACCUUUGGGGGCGAGACAAAGGUUCACGAAACUUCCUUCAAAACACAGAAAAAUGAUGCUUAGCUUAGUAACUAAUAGGGAAGUAGUAGAGCAUCGUGGUAAAGAGCUCAGACUCUAGAUCUAGAUAGAAUCUCAGCUCUAGUUCUUUCUAGACACGUCUUUGUAUAGAGAACGAGGUUAAUACUAGUAUCUGCCUCUUAGAGUUGUAAGAAUGAGAUAAUGAUGGAAAGCUUUUAGCACAGUGUUUGGCACAUAGUAGGUGCUCAGUAAAUGGUAGUUAGACUUAUUUGUUAUUAUUUGCUGAGUGUAAGAGAAAAAGCAGUGAACUAGGGUCAGAAAGCCUGAGCUUUUGUCUUGAUUCUUCCACCAACCAUCUGUGUGACAUUGAAACAGUCGCCUAGCCUCUGAAUGCCAUCGUCCAUCUCUGUAAAAUAAGGAGAAUGGACUAGAUCAGGGGGUGGCAAACUACUGUCUGCAGGCCAAAUAUGGACCACUGCCCAUUUUUAUAAAUCAAUUUUUAUUGGAGCAGAGCAUGCCCGUCACGCCCGUUCAUUUACUUAUGUCUAUGGCUGCCUUUGCUCUACAACAGCUGGUCAGAUAAGUGUGGCAGAGGCUGUAUGUCCUGCAAAGCCUAAAAUAUUUACCGUCUGGCCCUUUACAGAAGAAGUUUGCUGACCCCUGGACCAGAUGGUCUUUGGGGUUGAUCGUAACGCUGGUCCCAAUAUUUCACCCUUCCUCUAUUCAUAUCUUUGGCUCUGUAACUUGCAGUGCCCACCCAUAUCCCGCCCCCUGACACUGAACUCAGUCAUGUGACUUGCUCUGGCCAAUGGGAUGUUGGCAGACAUAACACAAGCAGAGGAUUGAAAAGCAUUCCAUGAUUGGGCCUGCUUUCUCUUCCCGACGUCUGCUUCCUCUGCUAGCACCAUGAGAACGUGCCCAGGCCAGCUUGCUGGAGGAUCAGAGACACGUGGAACACGUGGAACAGAGCACAGCUGCUCCAGCUGAGGCCAGCCUAUAUCGACCAAGGUCCAGCCAACACUCAGACACAUGAGCAAGCCCAUCUAAGACCAGUGGACCCACCUAGCGGCUGGCCCCAGAUGUGUGAUCAGUAGACAAUAACUGUGGAACACUGCUAAAAGUGUUAUGGUUGUUUAUUAUACAGUAUUAAUACGGCAAUAGCUACCGGAGAGAUACAAUCCCUAAGGAUAAUUUUGCCUCUAAAAUGUCGACAUUAUGUAACUUUUGGUAAUUCUGCUGCCUAUACUGUGGCUAGCUGUACUUCUUCCACUGCAUUUAAUAAACAAUUGUAAAGAUCUGAUGGCAUUUAAAUGUUUCUGGUUUUUGACAGAGGAAAACAAGCCUCCUUGCCCUCCUGGGAGAUCUCAGCCACCCUGUCUGAAGCAUUUCGUGUGCAAAUGGAGGUAUCAUUUCACCUUUUGGAGGAUGUGUGCUGACUACCUAACAGAGGAGAAACAGAGUUAAAAUGCUCAGGGCUAGGUAAAUUCUAAGGAGGAGCUGAAAUGAACUUUUGAAGUUCAAAGAUUACCUGAAGUUCCUGGGUCCAGCUUGUAAUUUUUUGAUAAUGUUCCAGAAGGUAUUUCAGAUACAAAGACAAUCCUUAAAGAGAGAAGCAAGAAGGAACACUGCUUCUCAAGUGGUGAAGCAAAGUGAAGUCUGGAGAAGGGAACACUUGGCCACAUACCUAAGAAGUCUCCCUCAACAGAUGUCCCAUCGUGAUCAGAUUCAGCGCAAUAUUUCAGUCAUGCAACUAUGUGAGAAAAGAGUUGCAAUCACCUUUGUCGGAGCUGGAGAACUGGAUCCCCACCUCGUGGAGGAGAUGCUCCGUUUCCUCCAGCCAGGACAGUGACAGGCGCAAGAUGUCCAGCGCCACCUUCUGGAGCCCUGAGACAGGUGGGCUCACCUGCAGGCGCUGCAGGAGGUCGACCUCCUUCUUCAGGUCAUCGCUACAGCAAGACAUUUUCAUGCACGCCUGGAAAGAGAUGAGGUCGUGAGGAGCCCAGGCACCAUCGCCAGAAAUAGCACCUGACGGUUGUGACCCACGAAGAGCAGAGUUCCUGACGUGCCCGUGAAGCAGGCAGCGCCGUAUGUUGGCCGCCCUGUGACGGCCCAGUUCUACUUGCGUUUUUUGGGGGGGCGGAAGGAAGGAGGCAGCUUUUAUUUCAUGUGCACUCUAAUUUGGACUCUGGAUGGUCAAAGAGACCCUUUGUUUAGGUAGAGGCAAUUCCAAAGCCAAAUUGCCAAGGACGAUUUGGCUGAAACGAGAACCAAAUCUGGCUACAGAAUUCCUGCUGAGAUCAACACACAGGCUGGUCAUAAAGUGCGGCUUCCUGAUUUGAAAGAGUGCUGACAAGCCAACAUUUGCACAGACUCCCCAAAUAGUAGCUGCGUAUUUCCAGAGAAAGCAGAAGCAGCUGCCUGAUGGGAUAAGCUGGAUCCCUGCGUGGGGGCCACGGAGUGGGGGCUCUGCCAGACCCUCUGGUCCCAUCUCCUCCAAAGUCAAAGGCAACAAGGCUAAGAGCAGCCUUCCGCUGCUGGGACAGAAAAGAAGAAUGCAAAUAAAGAGCAGAAUGUUUCUUUGGUUUCUCUGGAAAUAACACGGGGCUGUUUUUUUCCUCGGGGUCUGGGGCCUCCCAAAGGCAAUGCUUGGAGUGUGUCGGGCAGCUUCUCCUUGGCCACACCAAGUUCACCUGGGAGGCAUUUCUGGAGGUCCUUUUCUUUCUGAUCCCAAACAGAUUUCUCCAACAAGAGAAAAGGUGGACUAAAAGCAGAGCUGGACAAUUUCCUGAACAAGGAGCACAAAAAUGAGACACAGGGGACAUCUGAGAAAUGGAGAAGGGGGCACCUGGCAACUGUCUAAGGAUGUCUUCAGCUUCACGAUGUUCUCUGUCAUUUCCUCCUGUUCGCAGCUGCUGAGCUGGGUCUCCUUCUGCAGGGUCCGCUUUUUCUGCCGAAAGUUGAUAUUGUCCUCUGUGACCCUGGUGAUCUUCUCUAUUAACUGCUGAAGCAAUUUCCUUCUGGAAUCCUCCUGAAGCUUCUCUUCAACCUGAAAGGAUGAUGAAAGCGUGGGCUUUGCUGCUAAUGUGACCAUCAUGCCCUCUGGGGAAACUCUUCUGGGGGGGCUAAUGGCAGUGGGGGAGUCCCUGAGGGGUAGGGACAGCUGCAGCACAGUGGCACGGGUCACAGGCACGCACGGGGUGGAGGCAAACUCACAGGGAGUCGCUCCCUACAGGAAAGGGUCGAGCUCUGCACCCUGGGCUCAGCUAUGUUCUACCGCGGACUCCAAUCCCAGCUCGGUCCCUAACAAGCCAUACGACCCUGGGAAAGUUAUUUCACUGCUCCGUGCCUCGGUGUCCUCAUCUGUCAAAUGGGGAUGAUGAUACCCGUACCACUGCACAGAGUUAUUGUGGGGAUUCAGUGUUUGGAAUAGUGCUUAAGGGCUCUGUGAGUGUGUUAAGUACUGUUGUAACCUAUGAAAGGUGGACGGGAAUGUCCGCCGAACAGUCUCGUUCUAAUAACUCGUGAUGGGUACUUGGAAAUGUUAUUAUUGGGUUUAUUAUCAUGACUAUUUGUCGUUACCACUUUGAGCACCCUCACUGGUGGAAACCUCUCUGCAGGCUUGCUAAAGCAAUGUCUGUUAAGAAUUGCAGCCUGCAAAGGAAGGCGUUUAAAAGUGGAGAAGCUGGCCUACUUUCCCCCCCUUGCCUGGGUAACAGUCAACGCGCGAUAAGCUUGGGAAUGCUCCACGCUACCCUUUGCUGGCCAGUGUAGGCCUCGCAGCUGCUCAAUUCUUGGACGCACCUGCUGAGCCCUGGGCUCUGGCACUAACAGGAAAUGAGGCAAAGUCUCGUAAAUAAAUGGAAAGAUUCUGUGCUGAAACCAAUUCACAGGCUGUUUAUUAGGGAUCUGAAGAGGGGGAUCACAGGGAUGUAAUAAAAGGCCCAGAAAAGCCCUUAAGAGCUUUCUUCUGAGUAGUGUGGUGCAGUGGAAGAGCCUCUCAGCUCCGUUACCUUGGAAAAGUCACCUAACCUCUCUGGGCCUUAGUUUUCUCCCAGGUCUAAACACGCUCUGACUUCUAUUUCAGCAGCCUUUUUCAUAUGCUGCAAAAGCCAAGUCCAACCUUGGACUCUGCCCUUAU